GUACGUACUUGUCAGAACAGAUUCCAUGGUCAGGAAGGUGGUUUCUUUAGGCUGAGGCUUAAUCCGUUACACUGCGGGCAUGCUGACUCCUCUGAUUUCACCAAAUGCGGGGAAACUCGACUGCAUAGUUUGUGGUAGUGGGGGGAUUGCGUUUGCGCUUUCCUCUG
ensembl:snRNA U1 U1 spliceosomal RNA